rnacentral:rRNA from 4 species
AAACUUUCAACAACGGAUCUCUUGGUUCUGGCAUCGAUGAAGAACGCAGCGAAAUGCGAUAAGUAAUGUGAAUUGCAGAAUUCAGUGAAUCAUCGAAUCUUUGAACGCACAUUGCACCCCCUGGUAUUCCGGGGGGUAUGCCUGUUCGAGCGUCAUU